AUCUGAUUGCUACUUUUAAUUUAUGGGCCUUAUAAACAUGGCAGUUUUGCCAUAGGAUGGCCAGAAGUUGUGGUGGUUAAAGAUAGGAUGGUGAGAGGUGGAGAAAAUAUUUAAGCUUUCUGAUUAGUGGAGCUAAUUUGUAUAAGUUUGUUGCUUGCUAUUUUAAGGGAUGUAAUUGAAUUACUCUAUAUAUUAUUAUUA
rnacentral:lncRNA from 1 species